rnacentral:rRNA from 1 species
AGGACGAACGCUGGCGGCGUGCUUAACACAUGCAAGUCGAGCGGAAAGGCCCUUCGGGGUACUCGAGCGGCGAACGGGUGAGUAACACGUGAGCAACCUGCCCUUAGCUCCGGGAUAGCUCCGGGAAACCGGAAUUAAUACCGGAUACGACCACGGCCGACAUCUGCUGUGGUGGAAAGGUAUUCCGGCUAAGGAUGGGCUCGCGGCCUAUCAGCUAGUUGGUGGAGUAACGGCCCACCAAGGCGACGACGGGUA